rnacentral:rRNA from 1 species
AUGGCAUCAUGGCAGAGGCCGACAGAAAGGAGGGCGUCGAGGUGCACCCCAGUCAUGGCGCGGGCCACGCUCGAAUUCGACAUCGUCGGGUACAGCCUGCAUAAGGGCAUGGGCGCCGGCAAAUUCAUCCGGUCCCCUCGCGCCUCCGUUGGCGGGUACGAAUGGUGCAUCCGCUACUACCCUGAUGCAGACAGGGAGAUGAUCGAGGACCAUGUCUCAGUCUACGUGGAGCUCGUGAGCAAGGGUGCUAAGGCAAGGGCGCUCUUCGACUUGAGGUUGGUCAACCAGGCCAACGUGAACAAGAGUGAGCUGGAGAAAUCACCUUACCUGCGUGAUGACCAUCUUAUAAUUGAGUGUGAUCUCAGCGUGAUCAGCAAUGUGCCGCUUGUUGCCGAUGCCAUGGAGAUCCAGGUGCCACCCUCAGACUUGGCAGAUAAUCUCGGAACAUGGCUAGAGACCGAGGAGGAGACAGACGUGACAUUCAAUGUUAGAGGGGAGACUUUCCCUGCGCAUAAGACUGUGCUUGCAAUGCGGUCACCGGUCUUCAAGGCAGAGUUGUAUGGACCGAUGGGAAGUCGGACGGCACUCAACAUAACCGUGGAAGAUGUGCAGCCAGCUGUUUUCAAGGAAUUGCUUCGCUUCAUCUACACAGAUUCAUUGCCUUCUCAAGACAACCUCGAUGAUGACAUGGUUAAGCAUUUACUGGUGGCUGCAGAUCGGUACGCCAUGGAAAGGAUGAAGAUGAUAUGCGAAGGCAUUCUCUGCAGAAGACUUCGUGUCGAGACUGUGGCAACCACGUUAGCUCUAGCUGACCAGCAUCACUGCAGCAGGCUCAAAGAAGCCUGCAUUGAAUUUGUUAUCUCUUCGAAUAGAUUGGCUGCUGUGAUUUCAGGCCAAGGGUAUGUGCACUUGAAAAGAUCAUGCCCUGCUGUCAUAGCAGAAAUCUCGGAGAGAGUAACAAAGUCUCGCACAGGUUAA